AGUCCAAAUCGCCAGAAGGAAAAACGCCAACAUUAAUAACAUGGGCGGGGCCACUGUCACUGAAGGAAUAAAAAGAACACAACCUAGUGGAUGUUUAUCAGUUCAGGUCCCGAUGUGAGAAUAGAGCUGUGAUACAACUGAAGUUUGAAAAACGUUACGUCUUACAAGCAGCUUACCCAGUUCACCGAACCACAAGCUAUGGCUGACAAAUUCUACAUGUGCCUUCUACUGUUUAUUCUGGUAACUUCAUCUGUGCACUGUGCACGGCUGCGUCGCCCACAGGACGCUGAGAGGAACCCCUUGUUUCUCUAUGGAAAACGUUUGCGACAAGAUGAAGGGGCAUGCUGCUAUGGAGGCUGUUCCACCAGUUGUCCAGAGUUAACGCCAUGCAGCAUGAGCAAUUGUCUUGGGGGUUGCAUAUCUGGAUACAGCUGUUGCUGCUAGUAGCUGUUUAGAGAUUGUCUGCAUUGAUGGGCGAUCUCGCCACACAGUCGCAACAUGCUUUUCCUUGAACACGAUUGCUGAAUAUUAAUGAAACAGCAGAGUAUGUAAUAAAAGGCCGCGUUGGCCCAAAACUUUAUCUGG